rnacentral:rRNA from 1 species
UACGGAGACUGCGAGCGUUACUCGGAUUCACUGGGCGUAAAGGGUGCGCAGGCGGUGAUGUAUGUCAGGUGUGAAAUCCCGGGGCUUAACUCCGGAAGUGCGCCUGAAACUGCAUUACUAGAGGCUUGGAGGGGACAGCAGAAUUUCUGGUGUAGCGGUGAAAUGCGUAGAUAUCAGAAGGAAUACCAAUGGCGAAGGCAGCUGUCUGGACAAGAUCUGACGCUCAUGCACGAAAGCGUGGGGAGCAAAAGGGAUUAGAUACCCCUGUAGUCCACGCCCUAAACAUUGCACACUAAGCCUCAGGCAAUCGACCUGAUUGGGGCUCAAGCUAACGCGAUAAGUGUGCCGCCUGAGGACUACGGCCGCAAGGCUAAA